AGUGAACGCUGGCGGCGUGCUUAACACAUGCAAGUCGAACGAGAACGGAUUAUAGCUUGCUAUAAUUGUCAGCUAAGUGGCGCACGGGUGAGUAAUGUAUAGGUAAUAUGCCUCUUACUAAGGGAUAACAAAUGGAAACGUUUGCUAAUACCUUAUACUCCUUAUUAACAGAAGUUAAUAAGGGAAAGAUUUAUUGGUAAGAGAUUAGCCUGUAUUGUAUCAGUUAGUUGGUGGGGUAAUGGCCUACCAAGACUAUGACACAUAACUGGUUUGAGAGGAUGAUCAGUCACACUGGAACUGAGACACGGUCCAGACUCCUACGGGAGGCAGCAGUGGGGAAUAUCGCACAAUGGACGAAAGUCUGAUGCAGCAACGCCGCGUGGAGGGUGACACAUUUCGGUGCGUAAACUCCUUUUAUAUGAGAAGAUAAUGACGGUAUUAUAUGAAUAAGCACCGGCUAACUCCGUGCCAGCCGCCGCAGUAA
rnacentral:rRNA from 1 species